rnacentral:snRNA from 1 species
AUCACUUCUCAGCCUUUUGGCUAAGAUCAAGUGAAAUAAUUUCAAACUUACAGAACAUAAGUUAUUAUUUUUUUUAAAGAUUUUGAGUAUCUCUAUACCCAAUAUGUGGGGCUCAAACUCACAACCCUGA